ensembl:lncRNA
CUUUGUCCCAAGGUUUAGGAAUGUUGAUGAGGAUGAUGAUGAUGAUAGUCUACCAAUUUCUGAACAUCUAUGCAUCAGGCAAUGUGCUGCACAGUGUAAUGUGCAGCAUCUCAGUCAGUCCUGCAACAGGAGGAAACUGAAGCUUAGAGGAGGUCAUGCAGCUCUAAGUGACUGAACAAGAGAUUAAGGCACAAAAAUAGUUAAAUGACAAAUUAGGACUCAAAGGCUUUAAAAUUUCAGGCAUUUCCCGAUUAUGCCUUGGGCUAGCCCUUCCCUUUGCUGUUUUCCCCAAUUCUAGUAAAAUGCUGAUUUCUACUUAUUUUAAUCACAAAGAACAGAGAAGAAUAUAUUUUACAUUAUGUAGGGUUUAAUGAAUUAACCCCUAGGCAAUAAAAAUAUGUUUUCUCCAGCAUAAGAAACAAAUUUGGGAUUAAAUGCCAAAUGACACCUGCAUUGCAGCAAAAAUCAAUUGCCAAGGGGAAAAAGGUUUGCAAGACAACUAGAGCUAGGCAGUUAAACAUUAGGGUUCAAUGGUUUGAAGUGUUUAGGUUUUGCAAUGGUGUGGUUUGGAAGCUUUCCAGCAGAAAAGCUAUUUUCUUUUAAGAGGAUAACUCUCUGUAAUAUUUUCUUUGCUGAAAUAAUGUGAUCCUUAAUGACGUCUUAUAUGACCCAAACUUUAAAUAGACCCUAUUAUUUUAGCUGAUCUCAUUCUAACCAGGUUUUUACAGGUCAGCCAUGAACUAUCAACAGCUUCCUGAUAAUUAAUCCUACUUACCCAAAAAACUGUUAGCCUGUUAGCCUUAUCUAUGCUAAGAGGAAGCUUUUCUAUGUACCAGACUUCCUCAGUGAAUAAAAAACAAACUGACAUUCUGCAGAAAGGGCCAACAUUGUGAGGUUUAAGAAUGAAGAAACAGAUUAAAGAUUAUGACGCUGCUCUGUCUUCAGCUCCUAACUUGCUGAAAUUCUGUGGUUCAUCUGGCACAGGAAUGGCUUUACAGUGGAGUCAGCAGUACAACUACUCAGGAAGUAUUGGUGAGCAUAAGAGUGGGCAGCACAAUGGAAGCCCUCCUGAGUGCAGGACCUGCCACUUGUCCAGGGAGCCAUGACUGGGGAUGUAUUUGACCCCACGGCCACAGUAAGGAAAACAGUCUGGUCCCUGGGCCUUGCAACACGGAUUGAAACGGCAACAUUUCACAGAGAUGUCAAAACAGGAAGAACUUCUGGCAUAAUUAGCACUGAUAAUAGCAUAAAAAAAUACUAGCUAGUCUUUCUAAUGAAGAAUCCUGUUAAAGGACAAUCCAUAUCAAGUUUGAUUGUAAGACUGAUGAUGUAGGUCUGUCUGACCAUAUUUGCUGCUUGCAUAUUAAAUUUCCUAAGCUCAUUAAUCUGUAACUGUGAAUGGAGUUUUUUUUUUUUUUUCACUGAGACAGAGUUUCGCCCUUGUUACAGGCUGGAGUGCAAUGGUGCGAUCUCGGCUCACCUCAACCUCCACCUCCUGGGUUCAGGCAAUUCUCCUGCCUCAGCCUCCUGAGUAGCUGGGAUUACAGGCACGCGCCACCAUGCCCAGCUAAUGUUUUGUAUUUUUAGUAGAGACGGGGUUUCACCAUGUUGACCAGGAUGGUCUUGAUCUCUUGACCUCGUGAUCCACCCGCCUCAGCCUCCCAAAGUGCUGGGAUUACAAGCGUUAGCCACGGUGCCUGGCCUGGAGUUAUUUUUUAUGUGGUCAGAUGCUUCAAAUAAACACACCUAUCAAUGAAAUCUUAGGCUAUUACACUUAUAGGAUAUUCAACAGUAGAGUAGUGAUGCUUUAUAUCAUGUCCAUAGGUGAGAAUGUAGCCCCUAUAAAAGAUCCUCUGUGUUGCUACAGUAUCUUUUUAAACUUAGCUGUUUGGUGCUGAUCAUUUAAAUGCACUCACACAGAUGUAAAAGUAAACAGUGUGGUCAGAAGAAAAUGGUUUUGCCCACGAUGAAGGCAACUGAAUCUACCUUUAACUUUCCUAUAACUAGCUGUGUAAAUAUAGGGAAGAUCAUCUAGCCUUUCUUCAUCUUUAAACUUAGAACUUCAUGCUGAUCAGAACAGUUUUAAAGAUAAAUGAGACAAUAUAGAAGAAAACAGAUUGAAAAGUUUAAAACUAUAAAAGCUAAUCUGUUGAUUACAAAUAUUAUACAAAUAAUACGUUGGAUGGUUCCUAGAUUGUCCUGUGUGACUUUAGGAUGUUGUCAGUCUUCCACAUGUUCUGAGUAACG